CCCUACGGGGCGCACCAGGAGAGAACCGGAUACCCGGUACAGCAAUGUCUUUGUCCUCGACAAAAACCUCAACGUCACCGGGAAGAUCGGGCAUAUUGCGCCGGGCGAGGUCCUGCACUCUACCCGGUUUAUGGGCGACCGGCUCUACAUGGUAACCUUUAAAGAACUCGAUCCGUUCUUUGUGAUCGACCUGUCUGAUCCCGCAACACCGAAAAUACUCGGGAAACUCAAACUCCCGGGUUUUUCCGAGUACCUGCAUCCCUACGACAAUUCCCAUAUCAUCGGCGUCGGCCUGGAGACGGUCCAGAACGAAUGGGGCGGCACCGUGUCCCGCGGGAUCAAGGUAUCGCUCUUUGACGUCUCCAAUGUGAGCCGGCCGACGGUGGUCGACAGCAUCGAAUUGGCGGGAGGGC
rnacentral:rRNA from 1 species